rnacentral:rRNA from 1 species
GAACGCUAGCGGGAUGCUUUACACAUGCAAGUCGAACGGCAGCGCGGACUUCGGUCUGGCGGCGAGUGGCGACCGGGUGAGUAAUGUAUCGGAACGUGCCCAGUAGCGGGGGAUAACUACGCGAAAGCGUAGCUAAUACCGCAUACGCCCUACGGGGGAAAGCAGGGGAUCGUAAGACCUUGCACUAUUGGAGCGGCCGAUAUCGGAUUAGCUAGUUGGUGAGGUAACGGCUCACCAAGGCGACGAUCCGUAGCUGGUUUGAGAGGACGACCAGCCACACUGGGACUGAGACACGGCCCAGACUCCUACGGGAGGCAGCAGUGGGGAAUUUUGGACAAUGGGGGCAACCCUGAUCCAGCCAUCCCGCGUGUGCGAUGAAGGCCUUCGGGUUGUAAAGCACUUUUGGCAGGAAAGAAACGUCGCGGGCUAAUACCCCGUGGAACUGACGGUACCUGCAGAAUAAGCACCGGCUAACUACGUG